UUUCCUUGAGGAACGCAAGCUCACAUUCAGCUUCUGUAACAGUCACAGAGCUAUCUAACCUUUCUGCCUUUUGUGCACCUUUUAGCAGGUGGUGUUUUUCAUUGCUUCUGCAUCUCCAAGGAUUCAGUCAUCAUGCAUCACAGCUUGUCACUCUGAGGACUGUGGAACAUGAUGCACUUCCUUCUUUCCCUGACACAGGAAGUUCCUGUGGCCCUUCCGGGAGAGCAGUCCACAUCUGUCAAAGUUCGCAACUCGCACACUCACAAGACAGGACUUCUGCUCCAGGCCCUGUCAUGCCUGACUGCACCGAGGCCACCUCUGCUGCAAGCUGUGGUCCUGCCUGCCACUGACAGAGGAUGACGUCAGACUGAGUCCAGCCCUCUGAUUGGCAAGACCUGGCCACUCCAGGAGCAGAAUACACUGCAAAGGGGACAAACAGCACAGGGACAAAGGAAAUGUGAGCAGUGAGAGGGUGCUUCCUGUGCCAGCCCACAUAAACACAGGUGUGGGGCCCAGUUCACACAUGGACUGGAAGCGGGCACAUUGUUGGCUGUUGGGUUCACCGCAGCAAAACUGCAGGGACCAGAGGUGAGUGUCAAGGCAAGAGCCACUGACAGAGUGCAUGGAGCACAGAAACUGCUGCCACUGGUGCCUGGCAGGGCUGGGGCAGCAGAGGCCUCAGGGCCACUGUCCAUGGGAAAGGCACUCAAGAAGUCAGCCGGGCAAGGACAGAGGACAGUGCAGGGCCCCUGACGAGCACACAGGGCUUCCAGGGAAGCCCAGAGGCUGGGCUGUCCCUGCCCCGCAGACACCCACAACCGAGGGAUGCAUGAUUUCUCUGCAGGCUGUAAGGGUGGCUACUGCUGUGUCCAGAUGCCUCCCCAAAGCCUCACGGUCCUAGGACCUCUUCAGAGGUGGCCAAAUCUGAAGCGCAUGAUUGGUGUCCACUGAUUGGCUUGGCAUAAUUCUGCAGGGUCAAGGGGUGAGUGCUACACUUGCCCCAGGGCAGGUAGCCAGACACAAUAUAAGGGGGAAAAAAAAAAAAAGAGUCUCGUUUCUCUCACCAUGAACUGUCACCCCUCUGCCAUGUGCCACCCUGCUUUGGAGCCAGCAAUUAUACACUAAAGCCUUCACAACUGAGCUAAAUAAACCCUUCCUCCCC